rnacentral:rRNA from 1 species
GAUGAACGCUGGCGGCGUGCUUAACACAUGCAAGUCGAACGAUGAAGCCCAGCUUGCUGGGUGGAUUAGUGGCGAACGGGUGAGUAACACGUGAGUAACCUGCCCUUAACUCUGGGAUAAGCCUGGGAAACUGGGUCUAAUACCGGAUAGGAGCGUCCACCGCAUGGUGGGUGUUGGAAAGAUUUAUCGGUUUUGGAUGGACUCGCGGCCUAUCAGCUUGUUGGUGAGGUAAUGGCUCACCAAGGCGACGACGGGUAGCCGGCCUGAGAGGGUGACCGGCCACACUGGGACUGAGACACGGUCCAGACUCCUACGGGAGGCAGCAGUGGGGGAUAUUGCACAAUGGGCGCAAGCCUGAUGCAGCGACGCCGCGUGAGGGAUGACGGCCUUCGGGUUGUAAACCUCUUUCAGUAGGGAAGAAGCGAAAGUGACGGUACCUGCAGAAGAAGCACCGGCUAACUACGUG